AAAAACAGAGUACACAGUCUGUCCGGCAGUCCUCACAGACACAGUGCUUACAACAGGUGUUACAGAUUUGAAUAACAAUACUGCGAACAUUAUAUGAGCAGCUCAGAGGCUGACGAUCCUGCUGUGAGUGACCCACCUCCUGAGAGUUCAAAGUCGUACCAACACCUACAAAGACAGGAAUACUCUCCUGUAAGGUGAAGUUUGACACUAAACAAGACAAAGCAAGGCACAGUACUGCACUAAACGUUCACUCCGCAACAUCUGCAGGGUCAGUAUGUCUACUUAUACAACACCAGCAACUUGACCACCUGGAACAAGAGCAGCAGGCACGUGGGAACACCAGCUUCAUCCUCCAGUAUCCAACAAUCCACACUCGGAAUAUUGUGUUCCGUUCUGGCUGCCGCAUUACAAGAAGAAUGUGGAAAUUUGAGAGAGAGUGCAGAGGAUAUUUACCAGGAUGUUGCUUGGAACAGCGUGCAUGUCUUAUGAGGAUAGGUUAAGCAAGCUGGAGCUCUGCUCUCUGGAGCAAAGGAGAAUGAGAGGUGACAUGAUAGAGCUGUACAUGAUGAUAGAUCACUGGAUAGCUGGAGACCUUUUUCCCAGGGUGGAAAUGGCCAAUAUGAGGGCCAUAACUUCAAGGUGAUCAGAGGAAAGUAAAGGGGGGGGGGGGGGGAGUUUUUUUUUUUUACACAGAGGAUGGUGAAUGUAUAGAACACCUUACCAGGGGUUUUGGUAGAAGCAGACAGGUGCGUGUUUGAUAGAAAAAUGGAGGGCUACGUAGGAGGGAAGUGUUAGAGUAGGUUAAAAGCUUGGCACAACGUGGUGGACCAAAGUGCCUUUACUGGGCAGUAACGUUCAUUCAGCACCUGUCCAGCCCAGGCUGCAUCCAGGGGAUGGGGUUCUGUAAGAACCAUCAGCCACAAUGAGUCACAGGGUGUGAGUGAGUGUGAGUGUGAGCGAGAGACAAAGACAGCAGCAUUUGGAGCCAGCAGUCUGCUGCUGUUCACAGUCAAAGGAUGGCGUCCAUGCCAAGUCACCAGGUACAGCUGUCAACAAAAGUGAAAGGUUAUUUCAAACAGGGACAAUGUGAAUUUGGCCCAAACAUUCCCAGCAAGUAAAUCUGGGCCAUCAGAUUCUAAAUUCAAAGUACAUUUAUUAUCAAAGAACAUAUAAUGCUGACUUCAAAAAAAAACAGGGAAGAGUGCCAAUGUUUAAUUGCAUCUGGUUGUCUGCACUGAGCUCUUGCACAACUCAUCUGUUAAUGCUCCACCACUAGCUUUAGUACAUCUUGUACAAAUUUGACCAUUUGCCAGUUAACAAACACAGCCAAAAAUUAAAGUUCAAGCUGUGACUAAGCCUCUUUCCUCCUCAAUGGCUUAACAUGCUCCCCUUACUCCCAGGCAGGGUCAAUUCUCGUCACAGAGCCUCACCGCUUCCUUUGAACAUAGAACACAAAAUAGCACAGCACAGUACAGGCCUUUCUGCCCACAAUGUUGUGCCGACCCUUAAACCCUACCUCCCAUACAACCCCCAACCUUAAAUUCCUCCAUAUACCUGUCUAGUAGUCUCUUAAAUUUCACUAGUGUAUCUGCCUCCACCACUGACUCAGGCAGUGCAUUCCACGCACCAACCACUUUCUGAGUUAAAAAAACCUUCCUAAUAUCCCCCUUCAACUUCCCACCCCUUACCUUAAAGCCAUGUCCUCUGGUAUUGAUCAGUGGUGCCCUGGGGAAGAGGCGCUGGCUAUCCACUCUAUCUAUUCCUCUUAAUAUCUUGUAUAUCUCUAUCAUGUCCCCUCUCAUCCUCCUUCUCUCCAAAGAGUAAAGUCCUAGCUCCCUUAAUUUCUGAUCAUAAUGCAUACUCUCUAAACCAGGCAGCAUCCUGGUAAAUCUCCUCUGUACACUUUCCAAUGCUUUCACAUCCUUCCUAUAGUGAGGUGACCAGAACUGGACACAGUACUCCAAGUGUGGCCUAACCAGAGUUUUAUAGAGCUGCAUCAUUACCUCGCGACUCUUAAACUCUAUCCCUCGACUUAUGAAGGCUAACACCUCAUAAGCUUUCUUAACUGCCCUAUCUACCUGUGAGGCAAGGCAACUUUCAGGGAUCUGUGGACAUGUACCCCCAGAUCCCCCUGCUCCUCCACACUACCAAGUAUCCUGCCAUUUACUUUGUACUCUGCCUUGGAGUUUGUCCUCGCAAAGUGUACCACCUCACACUUCUCUGGGUUGAACUCCAUCUGCCACUUCUCAGCCCACUUCUGCAUCCUAUCAAUGUCUCUCUGCAAUCUUCGACAAUUCUCUAUACUAUCUACAACACCACCAACCUUUGUGUCAUCUGCAAACUUGCCAACCCACCUUUCUACCCCCACAUCCAGGUCGUUAAUAAAAAUCACAAAAAGUAGAGGUCCCAGAACCAAUCCUUGUGGGACACCACUAGUCACAACCCUCCAAUCCGAAUGUACUCUCUCCACCACAACCCUUUGCUUUCUGCAGGCAAGCCAAUUCUGAAUCCACCUGGCCAAACUUCCCUGGAUCCCAUGCCUUCUGACUUUCUGAAUAAGCCUACCGUGUAGGAUAAGCCUACCAUCUGAAGACUUCAAUCACACCAGAACCUCUCGUUAUUUGGACUCCAUCCAACACAACAAUCUUCCCUACACCACUGACAAUGUCCAAAUGCACCCCUCACUCCUGCUCUACCCACUCUAAUGGAUACAAGCUUAAACUAACAUAGCAGACAAUGGCUUUACCAAUCUACAUCAGAUCUGACGACUAGGAUGGUGAAACCGCAGAUGCAGAAAAUAACCUCAGCGGAGAACAUAGAACAGUACAGGCCCUUUGGCCCACAAUGCUGUACCAACCUUUUAACCUGCUCUAAGAUCAAUCUAACCCUUCCCUGCUACAUAGCCCUCCAUUUUUCUAUCAUCCAUGUGCCUAAGAGCUCCUUAAAUGCCUGUAAUGUAUUUGAUGAUGUCUAUAAGAUAUAGGAGCAGAAUCAGGCCAUUUGGCCCAUCGAGUCUGCUCUGCCAUUUCAUCACAGCUGAUCUAUUUCCUCUCAGCCCCAAUCUGCUGCCUUCUCCCCGUAUCCAUGCCCUGGCCAAUCAAGAGUCUAUCAACCAUCGCCUUAAAUGCACCCAAUGGCUUGUCCUCCACAACCGCCCGUGGCAAUGACUUCCACAAGGCCUUCUACCAUCACCCUUGAUGGGGCAUUCCACUCGCUGCUGGAGGAACUCAGCAGGUCAUGUAGUAUCUGUGGAGAUAGAAGUUCAGGGGGAUGGUAAUUAGCUCAGGUCAAGAUCCUGAAUCAGACUGAGAGUGUAGGAGCCUUUGUCUGCUUCCAUCUACCAUUUCCACCUGCCCAUGACCCACAGCUCCAGCCACUCCCCUACCUAACUAAUUCAAGCUGCCUGUCACCCUUCAAUUCCAAACCACUGCUUCCCAGGUCAUCAAUCUCCUCUUGUCCCUGUCCCACUCUGAUUGCUCUCCUCAUUGUACCUGUUUUCUCUGUCUUCAGGCUCUCAACCCUGACAAAAGGUUUUCACCCAAAAGGUAGAUAAAAUGUCUUGAACCUGACAGAUACUGCUCGACCUGGUGAGUUUCUCUCAGUCCCACCAUCUGAAGUCUCUUGUGCCUCCCUCCUCUGAAGAGGAUAUCCCAGAGUCCAGGUAAACCCUUCUCAUCACCCCCAUGCACUUUGAAUCUUGGAUAUCUCAGCUUAAUUUCUCCCAAUUUAAUGCUACCAGGAUCAUUCCGCUGAGGUUAAAACACCCCCAGAUUUGCCACAUUGACGGUGAAGUUUGUCGAGAUUCUGUUUGGGCUGAAGGUUCUCUCUAGUUGCACAGGGUGAAACUAGAAUGUGGAAAAAAAACCCUCAGACUAAUCAGGAAUGUAAACAAGCAAAUGUUUUGCUGUAAACAGAACAGAACAUUUUUCACUAUAAAUUAACUCAUAAAAACUGCACUUUGCCAGAGUAAGUGAUAAUACACACAAAAUCCUGGAGGGACUCAGCAGGUCGGGGAGGGGAAUAAACUGCCGAUACUUUUGGCAGAGACUCUUCAUCAGAACUGCAAAGGACGGGAGGCAGAAGCCAGAAGAAGCAGUUUGAUUUUCAGGCGAUACCCCAGCAGGGGGAUAAAAGGAACAGGUUUGCUAAGGCAAGGCACACACCACGAGAUCACAAGGUAACGAGACCCUGGAAGUGCGGUGUGCCCCCCCCCCCACAAGUUGGUGGGAGUUUUUGGAGGUCUGGUCGCGGGACCGACCAUAGACGCACAGGGUGAGAAGAUACGAUCAGCGGGAACCUGGUGUGUAUGUCCGCCCUUGCCUGGGUGCCGGGUUCACCGCAGAAGAACGAUUGUCUCUGGAACGGAGGGGUCACAGUCGGUGACCUCAGAAGACAUUACAAAGGGCUCGCCCGAAAGCUAACUGCGAGGAAUAUCAAAGGUCAGAGAUGUUCCAGAGGUGAGUGUGAAGCUGAGGAGAUGGCAUCUGCUCUCUGGUUAAAGCAAAUCCUUUUCUCUUCUAAAGAGUACAUGCAAAUAUAACUGUCAUUUGCAUAUUGGAGCUCAAUAAUGGAGGAGGUAUUUAUGUCAUUCUCAUCAGACCAAACCUGAUCAGUCUACAAUUAUACCUUCAUUUCUAAUCAACAAGCUCCAAAACCUGGACGUCUGAACCUCCAUCGGCUUCCACAUCAGGAGACCUCAGUCAGUGCAGAAUGUAAUAAUAUCCUCCUUGCUGAUGGUUAACACAGGUGCGCCUUGAUGAUGUGUGUUUAGCCCACUUCUCUACUCUCUCAUCACUUAUGAGUGUGUGGCUUGGCUCAGCUCAAAUGCCAUCUACAAAUUUGCUGAUACCACCACCAUUGUCAAAAUCUCAAAGGUGACAAAGAGGCAUAUAGGAGUCAGAGAGAUCAGCUGGUUGAGUGGUGCUGCAACACCAACCUUACACUCAACGUCAGGAGACCAAGGAACUGAUUGUGGACGUCAGGAAGGGGAAAUUGGAGAGCACACCAGUUCUCACUGAAGGUUCAGCAGUGGAAUGAGUGACCAGUUUCAAAUUCUGAGGAUCAACAUCUCAGAGGAUCUACCCUGAGCCAAACAAAUAGAUGUGAUCAAAAGAAACACACCAGUGGCUGUACUUCAUUAGGAGUUAGAGGAGAUUUGGUAUGUCACCAAAGACCAGUAAAUUCCUACAGAUGUACUGUGGAGUGCAUUCAGACUAUUUGGAGCCUCUAACGUACAGAUUUGCAAGAGGUUGCAGAGGAUUGCAGACCAACAUUCUGAUUUUCUUUUACAGCUGCGCAAACCAACCAUUGCACUGAGCAGGAGAUAAUUACACAGCCUGAAAACUGUACGGCACUUUGAAUGUUUUUUUUUAAAUAUGCAAACCAUGAACAUUUAGAAUGAAAAUUGAAAAACCACAUAUUUUUGAUUUUGUUUAUUAAUUG